rnacentral:pre_miRNA from 1 species
AUCACCUGAGUACCUUGUUAAAGUGCAGAUGCUGGUUCAAUAGGUCUGGGGCAAGGCCAAGCCUCUGCAUUUCUAGUAAGUUCUCAGGUAAUGCUGA